UGCCAGAGAAGUUGUAUAUUGGGCUACCAUCCAGUGAUGCAAUGGAGGCUUAUUAGGGUUGUCAGUUUUCCACAGGGUAGCAAUUAAAACUGUCUGA
ncrna:unclassified sequences drum RNA